rnacentral:rRNA from 1 species
GUAGAGGAUGUUUCGGGACGCGGCGCCGGCGUAAGUCCCUUGGAACGGGGCGUCAUAGAGGGUGAGAAUCCCGUAUGUGACCGGCGACCAAGCCCGUGUGAAACUCCUUCGACGAGUCGAGUUGUUUGGGAAUGCAGCUCAAAAUGGGUGGUAAAUUUCAUCUAAAGCUAAAUACCGGCCAGAGACCGAUAGCGCACAAGUAGAGUGAUCGAAAGAUGAAAAGCACUUUGGAAAGAGAGUCAAACAGUACGUGAAAUUGUUGAAAGGGAAGCGCUUGCAACCAGACCUGCCCGCGGGCGAUCAGCCGUCCCUCCGGGGCGGUGUACGCGCCCGUGAACAGGCCAGCAUCGGUUCGGGCGGCCGGACAAAGGCCCUGGGAACGUAGCUCCUCUCGGGGAGUGUUAUAGCCCGGGGCGUAAUGCGGCCAGCCUGGACCGAGGACCGCGCUUCGGCUAGGAUGCUGGCGUAAUGGUUGUAAGCGGCCCGUCUUGAAACACGGACCAAGGAGUCUAACAUCUAUGCGAGUGUUUGGGCGUGAAACCCAGGCGCGCAAUGAAAGUGAACGGAGGUGGGAACCCCCCGAGGGCGCACCAUCGACCGAUCCUGAUGUUCUCGGAUGGAUUUGAGUANGAGCAUAGCUGUUGGGACCCGAAAGAUGGUGAACUAUGCCUGAAUAGGGUGAAGCCAGAGGAAACUCUGGUGGAGGCUCGCAGCGGUUCUGACGUGCAAAUCGAUCGUCAAAUUUGGGUAUAGGGGCGAAAGACUAAUCGAACCAU